UACGUAGGGUGCGAGCGUUGUCCGGAAUUAUUGGGCGUAAAGAGCUCGUAGGCGGUCUGUCGCGUCGAUCGUGAAAACUUGGGGCUUAACCCUGAGCUUGCGGUCGAUACGGGCAUGACUGGAGUUCGGCAGGGGAGACUGGAAUUCCUGGUGUAGCGGUGAAAUGCGCAGAUAUCAGGAGGAACACCGGUGGCGAAGGCGGGUCUCUGGGCCGAUACUGACGCUGAGGAGCGAAAGCGUGGGGAACGAACAGG
rnacentral:rRNA from 1 species